CCUACGGGAGGCAGCAGUAAGGAAUAUUGGACAAUGGAGGCAACUCUGAUCCAGCCAUGCCGCGUGCAGGAAGAAGGCGCUACGCGUUGUAAACUGCUUUUGUACCAGAGAAAAUCAUUGUACGUGUACGAUGUUGAUAGUAUGGUAAGAAUAAGCAUCGGCUAACUUCGUGCCAGCAGCCGCGGUAAUACGAAGGAUGCAAGCGUUAUCCGGAUUUAUUGGGUUUAAAGGGAGCGUAGGCGGUCUUAUAAGUCAGUGGUGAAAUCUCGUUGCUUAACAACGAACGUGCCAUUGAUACUGUAGGACUUGAGUACAGUUGCCGUUGGCGGAAUGUGUCAUGUAGCGGUGAAAUGCAUAGAUAUGACACAGAACACCGAUUGCGAAGGCAGCUGACGAAACUGUAACUGACGCUGAGGCUCGAAAGCGUGGGGAUCAAACAGGAUUAGAUACCCUGGUAGUCCACGCCCUAAACCUAUGAUUACUCGCUGUCGGCGNUAUACUGUCGUAGUCGUAGACGAAGACGUAAGUAAGUACACCGUCGGUAGGUACGCCCGCCGAGGAGGAACGACGAAGAAGUAGACGGCGNGAGAGNGCGACGGACGACGACGAGGGAGGAGG
rnacentral:rRNA from 1 species